rnacentral:rRNA from 1 species
CGGGGAAUCUUGCGCAAUGGGCGAAAGCCUGACGCAGCAACGCCGCGUGGGGGAUGAAGGCCCUCGGGUUGUAAACCCCUUUCAGCAGGGACGAAACUGACGGUACCUGCAGAAGAAGCCCCGGCCAACUACGUGCCAGCAGCCGCGGUAAUACGUAGGGGGCGAGCGUUGUCCGGAUUCAUUGGGCGUAAAGAGCGCGUAGGCGGCUUGGCAAGUCGGAUGUGAAAGCUCCAGGCUCAACCUGGAGUCGCCAUCCGAUACUGCCAUGGCUAGAGUCCGGUAGGGGACCACGGAAUACCUGGUGUAGCGGUGAAAUGCGCAGAUAUCAGGUGGAACACCGGUGGCGAAGGCGGUGGUCUGGGCCGGCACUGACGCUGAGGCGCGAAAGCGUGGGUAGCGAACAGGAUUAGAUACCCUGGUAGUCCACGCCGUAAACGGUGGGCACUAGGUGUGGGGCCUUAUCAACGGGCUCCGUGCCGCAGCUAACGCAUUAAGUGCCCCGCCUGGGGAGUACGGUCGC